rnacentral:rRNA from 1 species
AUUGAACGCUGGCGGCAUGCCUUACACAUGCAAGUCGAACGGUAACGCGGGGCAACCUGGCGACGAGUGGCGAACGGGUGAGUAAUGUAUCGGAACGUGCCCAGUUGUGGGGGAUAACUGCUCGAAAGAGCAGCUAAUACCGCAUACGACCUGAGGGUGAAAGCGGGGGAUCGCAAGACCUCGCGCAAUUGGAGCGGCCGAUAUCAGAUUAGGUAGUUGGUGGGGUAAAGGCCUACCAAGCCUACGAUCUGUAGCUGGUCUGAGAGGACGACCAGCCACACUGGGACUGAGACACGGCCCAGACUCCUACGGGAGGAAGCAGUGGGGAAUUUUGGACAAUGGGGGCAACCCUGAUCCAGCCAUGCCGCGUGCGGGAAGAAGGCCUUCGGGUUGUAAACCGCUUUUGUCAGGGAAGAAAUCCUUUGAACUAAUACUUCGGAGGGAUGACGGUACCUGAAGAAUAAGCACCGGCUAACUACGUGCCAGCCGCCGCCGUAAAAC